CAGUCGCCACGGUAAUUCGAAGGGUGCAAGCGUUAAUCGGAAUUACUGGGCGUAAAGCGUGCGUAGGCGGUGAGUUAAGUCUGCUGUGAAAUCCCCGGGCUCAACCUGGGAAUGGCAGUGGAUACUGGCUUGCUAGAGUGUGUCAGAGGAUGGUGGAAUUCCCGGUGUAGCGGUGAAAUGCGUAGAGAUCGGGAGGAACAUCAGUGGCGAAGGCGGCCAUCUGGGACAACACUGACACUGAGGCACGAAAGCGUGGGGAGCAAACAGGAUUAGAGACCCGUGUAGUCCCUGUCUCUUAUAC
rnacentral:rRNA from 1 species